GAGGGUGUAGCUCAGUGGUGAAGCACGUGCUCAGCACGCAUGAGGUCCUGGGUUCAAUCCCCUGUACCUCCA
rnacentral:tRNA from 1 species